rnacentral:rRNA from 1 species
UGGGGAAUAUUGGACAAUGGGCGAAAGCCUGAUCCAGCCAUGCCGCGUGUGUGAAGAAGGUCUUCGGAUUGUAAAGCACUUUAAGUUGGGAGGAAGGGCAGUAAGCGAAUACCUUGCUGUUUUGACGUUACCGACAGAAUAAGCACCGGCUAACUCUGUGCCAGCAGCCGCGGUAAUACAGAGGGUGCAAGCGUUAAUCGGAAUUACUGGGCGUAAAGCGCGCGUAGGUGGUUCGUUAAGUUGAAUGUGAAAGCCCCGGGCUCAACCUGGGAACUGCAUCCAAAACUGGCGGGCUAGAGUAUGGCAGAGGGUGGUGGAAUUUCCUGUGUAGCGGUGAAAUGCGUAGAUAUAGGAAGGAACACCAGUGGCGAAGGCGACCACCUGGGCUCAUACUGACACUGAGGUGCGAAAGCGUGGGGAGCAAACAGG